CAAACUAAAGAUGGCGACCGGCGCACGGGUGAGUAACACGUAUCCAACCUGCCGAUAACUCGGGGAUAGCCUUUCGAAAGAAAGAUUAAUAUCCGAUAGUAUAUUAAAACCGCAUGGUUUUACUAUUAAAGAAUUUCGGUUAUCGAUGGGGAUGCGUUCCAUUAGGCAGUUGGUGAGGUAACGGCUCACCAAACCUUCGAUGGAUAGGGGUUCUGAGAGGAAGGCCCCCCACAUUGGAACUGAGACACGGUCCAA
rnacentral:rRNA from 1 species